rnacentral:SRP_RNA from 1 species
GCUGGGCAUGGUGGUAUGCACCUGUAGUCCCAGCUACUCCAGAGGCUGAAGCAGGUGGAUCACUUGAGCUCAGGCGUUCUGGGCUGUAGUGUACCAUGCAGAUUGGGUGCCAUCACUGAGUUUGCAUCAAUACGGUGACCUCCAAGGAGCUGGGGACCACCAGGUUACCUAAGGAGGGUUGAACCAGCCCAGCUUGAAACUGAGCAGGUCAAAAUUCCCCUGCUGAUCAGCAGUGGGAUUGUGCCUGUGAAUAGCCACUGCACUCCAGCCUGGGCAACAGUGCAACCUUGGUCUCU